AUUGAACGCUGGCGGCAUGCCUUACACAUGCAAGUCGAACGGUAACAGGUCUUCGGAUGCUGACGAGUGGCGAACGGGUGAGUAAUACAUCGGAACGUGCCCGAUCGUGGGGGAUAACGAGGCGAAAGCUUUGCUAAUACCGCAUACGAUCUACGGAUGAAAGCGGGGGAUCUUCGGACCUCGCGCGGACGGAGCGGCCGAUGGCAGACUAGGUAGUUGGUGGGAUAAAAGCUUACCAAGCCGACGAUCUGUAGCUGGUCUGAGAGGAUGAUCAGCCACACUGGGACUGAGACACGGCCCAGACUCCUACGGGAGGCAGCAGUGGGGAAUUUUGGACAAUGGGCGAAAGCCUGAUCCAGCCAUGCCGCGUGCAGGAUGAAGGCCUUCGGGUUGUAAACUGCUUUUGUACGGAACGAAAAGCCUCUUUCUAAUAAAGAGGGUCAUGACGUACCUAGAUAG
rnacentral:rRNA from 1 species